GUGGGGAAUUUUGGACAAUGGGCGCAAGCCUGAUCCAGCAAUGCCGCGUGAGUGAAGAAGGCCUUCGGGUUGUAAAGCUCUUUUGUCAGGGAAGAAACGGCGGAGGUUAAUACCUUCUGCUAAUGACGGUACCUGAAGAAUAAGCACCGGCUAACUACGUGCCAGCAGCCGCGGUAAUACGUAGGGUGCAAGCGUUAAUCGGAAUUACUGGGCGUAAAGCGUGCGCAGGCGGUGAUGUAAGACAGAUGUGAAAUCCCCGGGCUCAACCUGGGAACUGCAUUUGUGACUGCAUCGCUGGAGUGCGGCAGAGGGGGAUGGAAUUCCGCGUGUAGCAGUGAAAUGCGUAGAUAUGCGGAGGAACACCGAUGGCGAAGGCAAUCCCCUGGGCCUGCACUGACGCUCAUGCACGAAAGCGUGGGGAGCAAAC
rnacentral:rRNA from 1 species